AUGACCAAACUCUUAGGAUCAUUUCUAGAGUAUCGUCUAUUAAAAUUAUUCAUCAAUAAUUUUUCCUCUUUCACAGCUAGGAUGAUGAUACACACUCACUAUACGAAAGCGUGAAACCGUUAUUAUCAAAUGAUUCAUUUAUUUGUUAUUAACAUUGAUGACCGUCUAAUUCAGGGAUGAAUUGGUUGUAUGGUGGGAUUCGUACUGGCU
rfam:Gene for small nuclear RNA D2 of slime mold (D. discoideum).